UACGUAGGGGGCGAGCGUUGUCCGGAAUUAUUGGGCGUAAAGGGAGCGCAGGCGGUUCGUUCAGUCUGAUGUGAAAGCCCACGGCUUAACCGUGGAGGGUCAUUGGAAACUGGGAAACUUGAGUACAGAAGAGGAAAGUGGAAUUCCAUGUGUAGCGGUGGAAUGCGUAGAUAUAUGGAGGAACACCAGUGGCGAAGGCGACUUUCUGGUCUGUUACUGACACUGAGGCUCGAAAGCGUGGGGAGCAAACAGG
rnacentral:rRNA from 1 species